UACGUAGGUGACAAGCGUUGUCCGGAUUUACUGGGCGUAAAGAGCGCGCAGGCGGUCGUUCAAGUCGAGUGUGAAAGCCCCCGGCUCAACUGGGGAGGGUCAUUCGAUACUGAUCGACUCGAAGGCAGGAGAGGGUAGUGGAAUUCCCGGUGUAGUGGUGAAAUGCGUAGAUAUCGGAAGGAACAUCAGUGGCGAAAGCGACUUCCUGGACCAAUACUGACGCUCAUGUGCGAAAGCGUGGGGAGCAAACAGG
rnacentral:rRNA from 1 species